ensembl:snoRNA
AUCCUUUUGUAGGUCAUAAGUGUGAUUGGGUUUUCAUGGUCCUGUGUCAAAUGUACCUUCCUCAAACCUUGUUAUGAAAUGGGCACACUUCCUGCCCGGUG